GACAGAGGGGGCAAGCGUUGCUCGGAAUUACUGGGCGUAAAGGGCGCGUAGGCGGGAUGGCAAGUCGGUCGUGAAAUCCCUCGGCUCAACCGAGGAACGUCGAUCGAUACUGCUGUUCUUGAGGAUUGCAGAGGAGACUGGAAUUCCCGGUGUAGCGGUGAAAUGUGUAGAGAUCGGGAGGAACACCGGUGGCGAAGGCGGCAUCCUGGACCAAUACUGACACUGAGGAGCGAAAGCCAGGGGAGCAAACGGG
rnacentral:rRNA from 1 species